AGUGAUGUACGAUCUUAUGUUUCUAUCUAGGAUUUGGUCGAACUGCUGUAACUGAACCUAGUUUGCUUUUCUGGCUAGAUUUGGUGAAGAUGUAUGCAUUGAACUUAUUUAUUUUGCUAUGGUCAAUGUACUGAUGUAUAUGAAUAUGACCAUAUUGUGAUCUAUGAGUGAACCUGUGUGGUGAUAGCAUGUGCUAUAUUGGAUGUUAAGUGGGCUUGUGAAGUUGUGAUGUAUUGAUUGUUAACCGGGCAAUCAUUUGAGAU
rnacentral:sRNA from 1 species